rnacentral:rRNA from 1 species
UCGCUCGAAGAGGGGUUCAUGUCCUAUUAGCUAGUUGGUGAGGUAACGGCUCACCAAGGCUGCGAUGGGUAGCCGGCCUGAGAGGGUGUCCGGCCACACUGGGACUGAGACACUGCCCAG